GCCAGCGUGGCAUAGUGGUUUGAGUAUUGGACUACAACUCUGGAGACCAGGGUUCAAACCCCUGCUCAACUA
rnacentral:tRNA from 1 species